rnacentral:tRNA from 1 species
AAUUAUUAAUAUUAAGUAUGCUUGAUUUCCAAUCAAGAGGAGGAAUUAUUUUUUU